AUCUUGCAUGGUGAGUAAAUUUUAAACACAUAAAGUGCUAUUGGCAGAUUUUUAUUCUUGACGCAAUUAUAAGUAUCGAUUGGUGUGCAUAAAAUGCAAUGUAAUGUACCAUCACAUUGCACUAAUGUAAACUAAUAAAUAUUUAAAAUACAUAUACAGGCAGCCAGUGCAAUUUAUGCAGUACGGAGUACGUACAAAAAAUAUUGUAGCAAUGCGUGUAUUUAUUUAAAACACAACCAACUUCUUGUAUUUACGUAUAAGACCAGCCUAUUUAGCAAGCAAGUAAGAAAGGACACCGGAUUUGUUGGCAAGCAGUCAAUUGACGAACAAAAUGACCAAGAGAUGAGAUGACGAGAUGACCCACACCCUGCGCUCCUCAACUUUCACCAACUUUGUGCUACAAUUAAUCUCAACGCUCUCUACGAAUUCUCACAUCUCAUCUUCCACAUGUCGGGGACAGGACAGACAGACGAAGCUGUCCAAUCUUGUAGGAAUUAUAGGCAGCAACGCAGAGGAGACAGAGGAAUGGGAAGAAAAGGGCAUCAAAUAUCCUGGUAAUCUAUCCGCUUCUCCGUCUAUCUAUCUCGAGAGAGACGUGGGGAAAGGGGACAAAAACCACUUCUUUUCAACAUAUCCACAAACUGACAUCCUCAAUUCACUCUGUCGCACAUUCCUCUUUUGUUGUCAUGGACUGCAUUACUUCACAACUCUCGAAAUAUAUGAGGGGGCGAGUGGAGGGUGACAAUCAAGAACAAUAAAAUCUAUAAUGCCUGCUGAACUCAACUGUUUGUGCUGACUGAGGACUCUCCUCGUCUCGACGUAAUUGCAUUAUUUCGAUCAAGCACGUCGUGUGGGUUUUUCGAAUCAAUGAGACGGAUAUGUAUUUAUGAUGGGUUCAUUUUCUUUUUAUUUGGCUAAAGGCAUUAUAUUUCUUGAUAAGCGGAGAAACUAAUUUUCAGUUAUCUCAAAAUAGUCUCAAACUAAAGUAUUAAAGUGAGAUUCGAAAUAUUUCAGAUCUUCAUACCUAAUUUACAUCUAUCAAGAGAGAAAGUGAGACGGAGUCUCAAUGUGAAAGUGAUGUGGUUGGUUAUCCAAGGUUUCCUUAUCUUAAAAUUUACGUGGUGGUUGUAUUUUGUGUGUUGUACAUAUUUAUCUAAACUACAUACGAUAUACAUACAUAUGUAGGAACGAAAUGAAGUAUCAAGUUGUUUGACUAAGCUGCAGCCAACCAAUCUCGACAAACUGGAGAUGCAGUUUUUCUUUUAUGGGAAUCAACUUUUGGACUUUGACUGCUACUUACAACACAGGGCUGGAAAAUUUGUUGGUCGGGCGAAGAAAAAGUCAGAAGAGUCGACGACGAAAUUAAAUGCUAGGAUUAAUUCGUGCCCCUCGGGUAUUUCAUCCAAUUGUUCCUCUUCGCCGACUUUACUCACUCACAAUCUGCCUGCAAACACACGCACACACGACGAGAGGUACGGAAAGCGUCGAAGCAUCCGUUGAAAAUGCACUCCCGUAUUAAAUGUACGUUCCCAUUCAAAAGUAACAUCAUUCGUCUGAAGGCAAGAAGAUGCAAAAAAUAUAAAAGAAAUCUCAUCUAGCACUCUCUCCAGAUUUUUCUCUCAUUCUCAUCCGCAUUUUUAUUGACUCAGACAUUCAAAAAGAUUUCACUUUUACUUGAGGAAAGAGCAAGGACGUACGUAUUUAGCCAAUAUAGUACGCGUACUUGGCUUUAUCCUGCCAAUCCUCUUGUGGCAAAAUCUGGACAAACAUUAUUAUGCAACGACAACACGUACUGAUUAAUAAAUUCUUGUAAUUGUAUAAAUUCAUAAUGAUUUUUAUUUCUGAUUUUUCUCAUGAUUACAGCUUUUUAGUUAUUUGGUUAACUAUCCUUAUUACACGCAAGCAUUCGGACAGUUAAGAAUCUUGACUUAAGAUAAACAUAUAUACAUGCGUAUACACAUAGUGUCGGCACAAAGUGUCCCAUUUAAAAAAAU